rnacentral:rRNA from 1 species
CAGCAGCCGCGGGAAUACGUAGGGUGCAAGCGUUAAUCGGAAUUACUGGGCGUAAAGCGUGCGCAGGCGGUUUUGUAAGACAGAGGUGAAAUCCCCGGGCUCAACCUGGGAACUGCCUUUGUGACUGCAAGGCUAGAGUACGGCAGAGGGGGAUGGAAUUCCGCGUGUAGCAGUGAAAUGCGUAGAUAUGCGGAGGAACACCGAUGGCGAAGGCAAUCCCCUGGGCCUGUACUGACGCUCAUGCACGAAAGCGUGGGGAGCAAACAGGAUUAGAUACCCGGGUAGUCCCUGUCUCUUAUAU